GCAGCAACAAACACUGAAAAAUAACAACAUUUUUCCUAUUGUAUGCAUAAAUUCACUGUAUGUUCAUGCAUGUUUGUGCAUAUGGAGUCUAAUCCUCACUUUAAGGUCUUCAUACAGAUUUGGUCCAUACCGGUCUGAGACAGUGACAGCUAAUCUGGGAAUGCACAGACUGACGGGUUGGCAUGGCAACCUGUGGGUUUUCCGGGCCUGUCUAAUCAGUCAAAAGCUCAGAGGACUGCAGGCAACAUUCUUUAGAUCCAUUUGUUUAUCCUGGAUGGACGAUGGCUUGUCAAAUAAUAACGCGAUGUAUAAGACUAGUCUUGCUUUCCAUCUCUUUGAAGACACUAGACGGCGGACAUGCUCAAAAUAUACAGCACUGUGAGAAAAUAAUCAAAUGCGGGAGUAUGCUGGUGCCAUUUAUUCUGAGGAAAGACAAAGGCAUCCUGGCCAUUUACGGCACUAGAUGACAUACUGUAUCUAUGUUAACAAGAGAGAGGGGGAGUACCUUGACUGUGGACCCCUGAGACCAGAAAGAGGAGAGUACCCAGACCAGGCAGCAGCAGCGCUAGAAGAAAGGGGGGAGAGCAGCAGGGAGGCAUUGGGAAAACUGGAACAAUGGACCUGCCGACACAAGAGAGAAGAGAGGCUAAACCUAAUGACAGCGACUGUCACACCUGGAGAAAAACCUAGCUGAAAAAACCUUUCUGAAGCAUUCUACUGACUGCUGAGACACCGAUGUUCAAUGGGUGAAACUGGAGCAAUAUAGUAUAUAAAGGUAAACCAUGGAGAACAACAGAUAUUGAGAAAUAUUGGCAUGACGUCAUUGCGCACUAAUUUGACUGUCUACCACGACAAGUCUCAUCAGACGUGCGUUGGGCGUCGAAUUAUUUAUUUUAAAAAAGAAGAAAGAAAACUCAUGACCAGUCUCAUGAGUCAUGACACCCUUCUCGCGCCGCAGGCCGCCAUUCGCAAAAGCUCCUUCAUACUUGUCGAUACCUGUCCGGCAGAGGAAAGUGCCGUCAGCCUGGCAGCCUAGAGGAGGCGCCCCGGAGGAUCACAAAGUUCUAGCGCGCCGUAGGACACUGCGAUUUGCGGUUCCCCGUUCUUACUCUCCAAGUUUCAUACCUGUCUGUCAGGGACUAUGCACAGGAUUGGUGCUAAAGACAUGGCGUUACGCAAUUAAAAAAAUUGUUCCCUGGGUAUGGGAAAAAACCUUUCUUCAUCUGUGGUUCCAAAAUGCGUGCCAUCAAUAAGGGCCGAAUAACUGAGCCCUGCAGUUGCAGAUGCAGUCAGGAACACUACUUUCUUGAUUUGCUUCUUCAAGUGUGAAACUGGCAAAGAGAAUAGCCAGCAUUUAAUUUAAAAACAAAGGAUUCAUUUCAUGAUGACAGUGAAGAUGACAAUGUGGUCGAGAAACUCAUGAAGAAACUGCCGACUGAAAUAUUAUCAUUCAGGAAAUUGUCAUAGCCUUUCCUUUGAAUUUGGAUCUGCAUGUGGAAUUUUAUAUGAUGCCACAACUAAAGUGAUGGCAGUGACAAACCUUGCAUUUUUAAGUCCGUUUCAAGUAUGAACUGUUUUGCUCGGGACAUGUUAUUGCCGACUUUUUUCUUCGCUCAAACAUUAGUUACACGCCCACUUUGGCUUGCGAGUUUAUUUCAGUUCCUCAAAUCAGAGCGGUAGAAUCAAUGCAAAUUUAUAUAAGCCCAGAUAAAUUCGUUUUGAUGUUGCCCAUUUUAUCAUAGUCAAAAAGAAAAAGCCAGUGUCCAGACUCCUUAUUCACAUUUAGGUACGACGGAUAACUUACCAUCACUCCAGACA